GGGCAUUUGGCACAGUGGUAGCGCGCACGCUUCGCAUCUCAUGGCAUUGCGUGAGGUCGAGAGUUCAAUCCUCUCAAUGUCCA